rnacentral:rRNA from 1 species
AAUCUUCCUCAAUGGACGAAAGUCUGACGGAGCAACGCCGCGUGAGUGAUGAAGGUUUNCGGUACNUNAAACUCUGUCCUCAGGGNCAAAACAAAUGACGGUACCUGAGGAGGAAGCCCCGGCUAACUACGUGUCAGCAGCCGCGGUAAUACGUAGGGGGCGAGCGUUGUCCGAAAUUAUUGGGCGUAAAGGGUGCGUAGGCGGUCCUUUAAGUCAGAUGUGAAAGACCACAACUUAACUGUGGGAUUGCAUUUGAAACUGGGGGACUUGAGCAUCGGAGAGGGUAGUGGAAUUCCCGGCGUAGCGGUGAAAUGCGUAGAUAUCGGGAGGAACACCAGUGGCGAAGGCGACUACCUGGACGAAAACUGACGCUGAGGCACGAAAGCUAGGGUAGCAAACAG